GGAUUUUGCAUGCUUGAAAGAACAAAAAAAAAAUUCAUAUUUAAGACAAUUAAAGUAAGAAAUUGAGAUAAAUAAGGCUUAUCUAUUAAACCCUAGCGUGACCCUUGAAGGCAGCCAUAGUUGGGUCGCAAAAAGGUACACAUUAGGAGCCAAAGGCUAGGAGAGAAGGAGGGAGGCAACAUACAAGCUUGAUUGGCUUCUAAAGUCAUUGAUCUGAGAGCAAAGAUCGACAUUCCCAACCUUAUUUAGCUUUGAUUUCAUUUUCUUCAUCAGGGACAAGGAGAGAAGAAUGAAGGGCUUGGCCAAAU
rnacentral:misc_RNA from 1 species